rnacentral:rRNA from 1 species
AACAAACGCUGGCGGCGUGUCUUAAGCAUGCAAGUUGAGCGGCAAGGAGGAGAGAUCCUCCCUAGAGCGGCGGACUGGUGAGUAACGCGUGGGUAAUCUAUCGUAGGCAUGGGGAUAGUCACUAGAAAUAGUGGGUAAUACCGAAUACGUUCCAUGAGGGGAGUAUUCAUGGAAGAAAGGGUGCUACGGCACUGGCCUUAGGUGAGCUCGCGUCCCAUUAGCUAGUUGGUGAGGUAAAGGCCCACCAAGGCGAUGAUGGGUAGCCGGCCUGAGAGGGUGUACGGCCACACUGGGACUGAGACACGGCCCAGACUCCUACGGGAGGCAGCAGUGGGGAAUAUUGCGCAAUGGGGGGAACCCUGACGCAGCGACGCCGCGUGAGCGACGAAGGCCUUCGGGUCGUAAAGCUCUGUUCUUGGGACGAAGGAAAUGACGGUACCCAAGGAGAAAGACCCCGGCUAACUACGUG